rnacentral:tRNA from 1 species
ACUCGCGGAAUCUAGUGGUCAAGGAUAUUGGGCUUUGGACAGUUGGAAGUUACCCAAGGACGGCGGUUCGAAUCCGCCCGGGGCUA